CGCAACUAUUCAUAAACUUUAGCAUUUUGUUCGCAGCUGCGCGGCGCAGCUUUGGAAUUCAGAAAUCGCCACACCAACAAUGUUCCGCUACCUUCUCGUCUCCUUCUCUACGAACGACAACACACCUGCAAAAUCCCCACACACACACACACACACACAAUGGCAAAUGCAAACACAGAGAGCCAAUGUGAGAGAGAGAGCGUACCACAGCCACUGAGCCGCUCCCUCGACUUGAAGUGACAGCAACAACUUUUCCUCUGAUUACUUAGGCUGGGCUUUGGCAUACCAAAACGAAAACUAACUAGGAAUGGAAUUACCAAAGAUCGGCGCUAACUUGACACUUUUCGAAACUUGGAAACACAAAAAAAAGUGGGCUAGUACCUUGUCACUCCUACGUCACUAAAUGUGCGUUUAACAAUUUAAGUAUGUAGAUUUUUACAGAGGCGGAUCUGCGGCUGCUAAUUGGGGGAUCACUUUGCCCCCUUAUUCCCUUAAAUUGUGUUUCCUGUUUUUUUUAUUAUUUAUUUGUUGAAAAGAGAGGAAACAGAUGAUUUUUAAACUCCCUACCAUAUGAUAGGGUCCGUCCCUGUACGUAUUUAUAUCUAAAUAUAUAUUUAAAAUAAAUGUUUCUGCUUUGAG